AUUACGCAUGCAUAAAAGCUACUUUGUGCUCGCGACAACCAGUAUUAUUUCCAAAAUGGCCGCUUGUUAAUGUUUUAAUGUGUUAAUAACCUUUUAUUCAAUACUGGAAUAAUUGUUUAUUUGUUACAUAUUUUAACUCUAUUUUAUUACAAUUGAAAAUUGAAAUGACAAUAAUAUUGUUUUGUGUUCAUUAUAAUGUAUAUAUAUGUAAACUCCCUAGAGUUCAUGUGGGAUAGGGAUUCCUUUUGUUUUACGGGUAGCUCGACAGGCUUGUUUGUUUCGCGGACAGAGCGAUCUUCUUUUGUUUUACGGACAACCAUUUUGAGAAGUACGCUUUUCCCAAACGGAUGGACAGAGAGUUACAUUAGAGACAGACAAGUUUACAGAAUAGUUAUUUAAGAUUUUAAAGACUGAAGAAGAAAGAUCGGUAGCUCAGGACGUUGAAAAUCGAUUUUCGAUUUUCCGAUUCUCUGGUUCCAUUUCCUCAACGCUGCAUGAUUUGCUUGGGACAGUUACGCAGUGCAUGUGGUUCAUCUGGUUCUUUAUUACAUCGUCAACACCUAUUACGAGUACCUUUAUUUAUCCUAGUUUCCUGUUGUUGUCUUGACUGUUUCGGUAGUAUCUGCUGCAGUAUUCCAUAAGUAUUCACUUAAAUUUGGUAGUAGACUUCUUAUAACUGUGUCAGCUUUAGUGUAUACCUUUUGAUGUUAUGAUUUACCUUAAUAUUUAUAACCUUCGGUAUCCUUGUACUUGUAAGUAGAAUAGUAUCAAAUCUUUCCAAUGAUCAACCAUAAGUCCCGUUACCUUGUAAAUGUUGUUGUCGGGCAUCAAUUAUUGAUCGUUAUACUUGCUUCUUUUAGUUUAAUUUUAAUAUUGUUAUAAAGGUUAAAUAUUAAUGCAAUUGAGGUUAACUUAUCCAUUUGUUUCAGCUGACCGUCGUAUAUUAUGUUUUACAAAAAUGGAUCCGUAACCAAUUCUUGUGGAGUUCCCGCAUGUACAUUUCCUUUCUCGAUAGUUAAUUACGUACAAGCCUCGUUGAUUUAAAAGGUACCUUUUCUUUUAAUCUCUCUUGAUAUCUUAUUUAUUUUAUUGAAUUAACACAUUUUGUAUUUAAAUAGAGCUAGAAUACAUAGUAAUUCCUUUUUC